AAAGAAAGAAGAAAGGAAAGUAAAAAGCCUCCCUAAAAUUGGGAAACUCAAAGACUGACUCAACCAUCUUAGCUCAGAUGUAACUCUUACAAGGCCAGAUCUUUGGCAGGUGCAAGAUGAUUUCAAUGAAGAUUCCCUCUUAUGUCAGCUAAGGAUGGUGCCUGAACAUGCGCACAGAAGAUGCGGUGGCCCUUCUCUCGCACUUGCUGUCGACACACAGCCUGCUCCUCAUUUUGGCCAUCCCCUAAGCUGUCCUCAGCAUCUCCAUCCUGUCUGUCUUCAACUAUUUAUUUUUUUUUUGCUCUUUUAGUUCUGUUGCGAAAUAUCCCUUUGACAAUCCUAAAGCCUGUGGGCUUUUUACCUGCCACAGAAGUACUGCAGAAGUGGAAAUUUUCCUGACACUGCCUUGCUGAAAGGCUGCAGUCCCAACACCAUUCAGCACAGGUGCCUGCGUGUUUGGACACCUGCCUGCUGUACAUGCCAUGGCCCUGGGCCUUCUUGUUUGGGGUUUUUACAUAGGACUCAGCCACCUACCAGAAAAACCCUGAGCUAUGGCAUGACCAAUUAGAAAUGAAGAGAGAGACCAAUACUCAGAAGGAAGCAUGAGGAGGUCCUUGCUUUGGUUGUGGUAUGUGGACAGUCUUCUGGAUGUAAUAGGGACCAGAGUAUGCUGGAAGUAGUGUGGAAAGACUACCAGGUUUCAGAAAUAGAGAUUACCAUUUCUAGUCCUAUUUAAGACUGGGGAGAAAAUGUGAGAUUCUGAAAUUUUUACGAGAUUGGAAAACAGUUUUCCACCAAGCCUUCUUCAGAUGAGAUUGCAGAAAUUCUUCUGUUUUCUCCUUCCUCCAUGGUUCUGUUACCAUGCAAUUCUGUUCACUCUGUUCUCCAAGCCAAAAUCUGAGCCAGGCUGAGAUAUGUGCUGAUGCUAAAUAUUGGGAGGAAAUUGUGACAAGCCUGAUCCUUUGUAACUUACCCUGCCUACUGAGGACACUUAGAAGCUCCCAAGGAGCCACCUGCUGCUGCAAAGCUUUAACAUACAACUUACAAACCACAAUACAAUUCAGGAAUUAAAAGUGCUUGUUAAAAGCUAUGUGAAUGACCAGAGCAACUGCGAAUGGAAAUAUUGACAAUGAAAACCUGAGUUAUGCUACAGCAGUUGAGAAGCAGGACCAGUGAACAAACGUCUGAAAUGAGCUAUAUCUGCCCAGGUGAGCAGCUUCAUAGAGGAGCCUUCAACACCGGAGAGAGAAGAAACGUCCGUGUCCCGGACCCUCAGCUCUGAGCAAGUAGCGUGGCUGGACCAGACCAGGAAAGGGAAACCCUGCCAAGGUGCGGAUAUAUCCAGAAUUUCCGGGCAUAUAGACUGAGCUGAAGAUGUGCUGGUAAAGAUGUUGCUGCUAUCCCCACAUGAGCCCUUCCUUACCCAAUGUUAAACAUUUUUUGUAGUAUAUUGGCUGCCAACAAGUGGCACAGGAUGCUCUACUUUUCACUCCUGUCUCAUACUUUCCCAGUGAUAAUUUUUGACUGUCCUUACUUGUGUCUGUGUUGAAAGAAGACAGUGUAAAUCAGAGAGUUUUAGCGGUUCUAUUCUACAGUACUGUAAUCAGUUUUUAAAUUAUUGUAAGCUCAUGCUUAAGUGUCAUUUCUGUCAUGUACAUUUGGCUUCCAAGAUACUGCAAUUUAUAAAUAUUGUGCAGCUUACAGAUGCUUUAUGGAGAUUUUUGAGGAACUGUGUGUGUUCUCCAUACGCUUUGAAACUGAGACUGUAUUUCAGUGGAAAUGGUGUUCAUGCACCAGAAACAAAGAACAGGCAGAGGAAAAGCAGUUUCUUGUGAGCAUAAUGGCUGGAAGUUUUAAGCCAUUUAAAAAAUGGCUGGAAGAGUCUCCUCAAUUAUUUCAGGCAUUGCAGACUAAAUGAUCAUGUUCCAUUUGUACAGUCUAUGACAUGACAAGAACAGAGAUUCAUCACCUCAGUCUCAAGGUGUCCUUCUGCAGGUUGAUGCCAUUAAAAUUCAUAUUACCUCUUCUGUGUUCCACUAAGGGCCACAAAUCAUGCAGUGAUAGUGAGAAUGGUCCACAGAGAAGGACCAGUAAAUGUCAAACUUUGAGCAAAUGUCUGUUUGAGUUUUGCUUUCCCCCAAAGCUGAAUAUUGUGUCAUCCUCUUCUAUUUAGAUGGUGAAUGCCAUCAAGCAACAGUCUCUGCUGCAUGCAGGAAGUGGUCUGUCUUCCCAUGACAUUUCUCAGUUCUCAGAAAUGGCCAGAGAGCUCUUGGGACCUUGCUGGGGCAAGCAAAUAGACAUCAAUGUUUUUACAAAAAUACAUAUGACUGGCAUCUCUUUGUUCCUGAUUCUUCAUUGUGUUUUAAACUAAAAAACAAACAAAAAAAAUCCUUGUAAUAUCUUUCAGAUAUUUGUAGCAACUAUUUGAAAAUGUAGCUUGAGAAAUGUUGAUAAUGCUGAUUAAUCCAGCCUGUAGUACCAGCAUAUUUGUACUUUACAAAUACUGACUGCUUUUCUCUGGAGUGGUUCAGCUUGGUUUUCAUUCUGUUUUCCAGCGACACUGAAUUUUUCCCUGUAGCAGGUGCGGAUGAGUAUGAGAACUAAAACAGAGAGCAGCAGUGUGCUUCUUGGGGAAAUGGCAAGUGACUAUAUACUCAGUAGUGUAUUUUUACUUAUAAUUAUUGCUGAUAAAAAAAACCCAGCACAAAUUGCAUGACAAUAUUGUAUAAGAUGGGUGUAGAGAUAAAACAUUAAUACAACCCAUGCCUUGUAGGCUGGCAAAUGAAGUGUAAAAUGUUAUUGUUUGUUUACUGACUGCCUAAGCAUGUGAGAAGCGAUUAUCUCUGCCUCAAGAGGUAGCCCAAGAUUUCCAGUGGAAUCAGUCUUCCUGUUUGUGAUUCAUUUGUGCAAACAGUGGAAAGCUGAUCAUGUAAUCAUGAAGGCAAUUACCCAAUUACUUCUCUGCCCUUUAAAAAUUGUGGUGUUUCUCCAUUCCCUUUCAAAACUCGGGGUUGCACUGGAGUGAGCCGAGGAAGGUGAGCCCCCCUCCAGCCUCAACAGAACGCGGCCACAGUCAGAGUCGUGCCUGUAAACCUCUCUACUGUGACUUGCUGCUUCCUGGCAGCAAUAUUUUCCUAAUGAGCUCAGGGGCAGUGGGAGGAGCGCUGGAUUUACCGUGGUGCAUCCAGGGCUGCCACGGGGCAGACGCAACGUCUUGUCCUCUCUGGCGGAGGCUGCAUUAUGUAUGCAUCAGGAGACUGUUGCACAGCAUUGGU